rnacentral:misc_RNA from 1 species
AUGAAUUUUGGAGUUCUACUGUGCCUGCCGUUCAUUCGGAUUGUGUGCACGUAGUCUCUAUAAAUCCUUAUCAACACCUGUGCACCUUUAAAAAGGGGGGAGUCUGAUUAAGCAUUUUAUUUAUAUGAUGCUUAUGACGAAUAACCUCUUUUCUUAUACAAACUCUUUUAAUGUCUAUUAGAAUGUUCUCUGGCCGCAAGGCUAUAAAAUAUAAA